rnacentral:rRNA from 1 species
UACGGAGGGUGCGAGCGUUGUCCGGAAUCACUGGGCGUAAAGGGCGCGUAGGUGGCACGGGUAGUUGUCGGUGAAAGCUCAGGGCUCAACCCUGAGUCGGCCGGUGAUACUCCCGAGCUCGAGUGUGGUAGAGGCCAAUGGAAUUCCGGGUGUAGCGGUGGAAUGCGUAGAUAUCGUAAGGAAGACCAGUGGCGAAGGCGGGUCUCUGGACAGUUCCUGACGCUGAGGCACGAAGGUCAGGGGAGCAAACGGG